AUCCUCAUGACCUAGUCAUAUUAAUGAGACAAGAAGCAACAGUUAACUACCUCAAAGAAUUAGAGAAACAAUUAGUUGCUCAAAAAAUUCACAUAGAAGAGAAUGAGGACAGAGACACAGGACUGGAACAGAGACAUAAUAAAGAAGACCCAGACUGCAUCAAAGCCAAGGUGCCCUUAGGGGACCUGGAUCUAUAUGAUGGCACAUACAUAACUUUGGAGAGCAAAGACAUCAGUCCUGAAGAUUAUAUAGACACAGAAUCUCCUGUCCCUCCAGACCCAGAGCAACCUGAUUGUACUAAAAUUCUAGAACUUCCAUAUAGUAUACAUGCUUUUCAGCACUUGAGAGUAAGUAGAGAACUUUAGGAUUUUUUUUUUUUUUUGCGUUCUUCUUUCGGUUGGUCUCUCACUUAUAAAGACCAUUUCUCUUUCUUCUCUCCUUCCGAACAGCUUUGUAAUUUUAUAGACAUCUCUUAUUUCUUAAAAUUCCAAAAUAUUAGUAUUUCAAAAUAAACACUAUAAGAUACUGAAUUAUUUGUCAUCUUUUAUAUCCUUUG
rnacentral:sRNA from 1 species